rnacentral:rRNA from 1 species
UAGGGAAUCUUCCACAAUGGACGCAAGUCUGAUGGAGCAACGCCGCGUGAGUGAAGAAGGUCUUCGGAUCGUAAAACUCUGUUGUUAGAAAAGAACACGAGUGAGAGUAACUGUCCAUUCGAUGACGGUAUCUAACCAGCAAGUCACGGCUAACUACGUGCUAG